rnacentral:rRNA from 1 species
AGAUUAAGUUAUUAAGGGCGCACGGUGGAUGCCUUGGCACUAGAAGCCGAUGAAGGACGUUACUAACGACGAUAUGCUUUGGGGAGCUGUAAGUAAGCUUUGAUCCAGAGAUUUCCGAAUGGGGAAACCCAGCAUGAGUUAUGUCAUGUUAUCGAUAUGUGAAUACAUAGCAUAUCAGAAGGCACACCCGGAGAACUGAAACAUCUUAGUACCCGGAGGAAGAGAAAGAAAAUUCGAUUCCCUUAGUAGCGGCGAGCGAAACGGGAAGAGCCCAAACCAAAAAGCUUGCUUGUUGGGGUUGUAGGACACUCUAUACGGAGUUACAAAGGACGACAUUAGACGAAUCAUCUGGAAAGAUGAAUCAAAGAAGGUAAUAAUCCUGUAGUCGAAAAUGUUGUCUCUCUUGAGUGGAUCCUGAGUACGACGGAGCACGUGAAAUUCCGUCGGAAUCUGGGAGGACCAUCUCCUAAGGCUAAAUACUCUCUAGUGACCGAUAGUGAACCAGUACCGUGAGGGAAAGGUGAAAAGCACCCCGGAAGGAGAGUGAAAUAGAACCUGAAACCGUGUGCUUACAAGUAGUCAGAGCCCGUUAAUGGGUGAUGGCGUGCCUUUUGUAGAAUGAACCGGCGAGUUACGAUUUGAUGCAAGGUUAAGCAGUAAAUGUGGAGCCGUAGCGAAAGCGAGUCUGAAUAGGGCGUUUAGUAUUUGGUCGUAGACCCGAAACCAGGUGAUCUACCCUUGGUCAGGUUGAAGUUCAGGUAACACUGAAUG